AUGCGCGGUCUGCCUCCCGCGGCGGGCCGGGUCUCCAGGGAGGACCUGAGUUUUUCUUCACCCAUGGUCAGGGAGGCGCCAUCGCCCUGGCUUUGGGGCUGGGGCCUCCGGGGAGGUUCCGGUAGGGGCGUUGGAGAGGCCGCUCUUUUUGCAAGGCCCGAGAUGGCGGGCCCUGCGCAGGCCGCCCUAUUCCGCGCCCUCAGGGCGUCAGUAUCCGCCUGAGGCCGGAUACCCACUCUGGGCUCGGAUACCCGCGCUGGGCCCGGAGCAUCCUCGGCGCUGCCCUCCCAGAGCCCCGCAGAGGCUGAGGUGGCGCGGGGGCGGCCCCGGCUCCGCGAGAAGAGGCGGCAGCGAGGGCUGGAGGACCCGGGCUACGGGGCUCCGGGGCGUCUGGCCUGGGUGGGACUGAGCCCAUCCAGGGACUGGGACUCCGGGGUUCUGGUGUAGGUGGAUCCCGGGCAGGCUCAGGACCAAGACCCUCUCCUUCCACCAAGGAGCGCCCAGAGGCCGGCGGGAGCUCCAGGUUCACCUCCUCCUCCUCCAGGAAAUCCCACUUCCAGCUGGAUGUCUGGAUGAACUCCUGAAAGCUGCUGAGUGUCCUGCAGCAGGCCAUUUCCAAUCCAGAGGAAGACCUUCUAGAAGAAGUGAUGGGUGGGAGAGUGCUGACAUACUAUGCAAAGCUACUAUUUGGAGUUGGACACGAGUGCAUGUGACCUUGUGCCACAGCGGGAAUGUGAGCUGGAUGACAAAUGGAGAUUUGGACUUGUGAUAAUUGGCCUCUGUGUCAUUGUGUGGAAGACUGACUGGUCCCUUUAUUUCCUGUAGCUUGACUACCACACAAAUUAAUCCACUCAAAUGUUGGCAAGUGGAGCAGAGUCCCAGGACAGAGUCUCACUCUGUCACCCAGGCUAGAGUGCAAUGGCAUGAUCUCGGCUCACUACCACCUCCGCCUCCAGGGUUCAAGCGAUUGUCCUGCCUCAGCCUCCCAAGUAGCUGGAACUACAGGCACGUGCCACCACACCCUGCUAAUUUUUUGUAUUAGUAGAGACAGGGUUUCACCGUGUUGGCCACUGACUUCAUGAUCCCAAAGUGCUGGGAUUACAGUGCCUCGGCCUCCCAAAGUGCUGGGAUUACAGUGCCUUGGCCUCCCAAAGUGCUGGGAUUACAGGUGUGAUCCCACUAAUGGUUUUUUCAUGACCUAUCUUGUGUGCUCCUA
rnacentral:lncRNA from 1 species